UUGUCCGUGCAAGACGCUGAGCAAGUUUUCCUCAAUGAUCUGGAUUACCAUCGCAGGUGUCAGUGAAGCCUACAUCAGUGCAAUGUAGCUGAUGGGCAAAAGUACUGAAGGAUCAUACAACUGGGAUUUACACCGCUCUUCACUGCAUACAUUACUUUAUGGACUUUCUCUCUGUUUAUGGCUGAUGUUAGGAAGAAUGUUACUGAGUCACCAUUCACUUACAUACAAGAACACUAGUCAAAAAGCAAACAUUUUUCUCUUGUGCUCUGCUAAGGAAAGAGAGUCCGGAGGGUUUGGAAUGUGAUGGUGAGUAAAUGAUCACAUAUUACAGAUUAAAAUGGGCAUUUUUGUUUGUUUAAAUAAAUGUGUGCAGUGAGGUGAUGUUUAUUUAUUUCAUAAUUAUUUUACUUUGUUAAUGUCAUACACAUCACAAUCAGAUGUUAAAUAAAAUGUAUUGUAAUUUUGUGUUUUGUCUGAAAUUUUUGCAUGCACGCAAUAAAUAUUUGAU